CCUACGGGAGGCAGCAGUGAGGAAUAUUGGUCAAUGGACGCAAGUCUGAACCAGCCAUGCCGCGUGCAGGAAGACGGCUCUAUGAGUUGUAAACUGCUUUUGUACGAGGGUAAACGCAGAUACGCGUAUCUGUCUGAAAGUAUCGUACGAAUAAGGAUCGGCUAACUCCGUGCCAGCAGCCGCGGUAAUACGGAGGAUUCAAGCGUUAUCCGGAUUUAUUGGGUUUAAAGGGUGCGUAGGCGGUCUGAUAAGUUAGAGGUGAAAUGCCGAGGCUCAACUUCGGAAUUGCCUCGGAUACUGUUCGGCUAGAGAGUAGGUGCGGUAGGCGGAAUGUAUGGUGUAGCGGUGAAAUGCUUAGAGAUCAUACAGAACACCGAUUGCGAAGGCAGCUUACCAAGCUACUUCUGACGUUGAGGCACGAAGGCGUGGGGAGCGAACAGGAUUAGAUACCCUGGUAGUC
rnacentral:rRNA from 1 species